rnacentral:misc_RNA from 1 species
UACGGAGAGGGCAAGUGUUACUCUCAAUGAUUGGGCGUAAAGGGCAUGUAGGUUGUUUAUUAUGUAAGAAUAAAAUGCUAGAAAUAUACUAGUAAAAUUUUUUAUACUAAUAACACUAGAGUAUAAAAGGAGUUAGUUGAACUUUCAGUGGAGAGGUAGAAUUCUUAGAUAUUGCAGAGUCAAUCAAUAGGUGUAAACUACUAACUAUUUUAUUACUGACAUUUAUGUGCAAAGGCUUAGGUAUCGAACAGG